AUGACCUCCACCAUGGCCUGGGCCCCUCUCCUCCUCACCCUCCUGGAUCACUGCACAGGAUCCUGGGCCCAGCCUGUGCUGACUCAACCGUCCUCAGUGUCGGGGGCCCCGGGCGAGGGGGUCACCAUCUCCUGCACUGGAAGCAGCUCCAACGUUGGGGGUAACUAUGUGUACUGGUACCAGCAGCACCCAGGAAAGGCCCCCAAAUGCAUCAUCUAUGAUAAUAGCAACCGACCCUCAGGGGUCCCGGACCGAUUCUCUGGCUCCAAGUCAGGCACCUCAGCCACCCUGACCAUCACGGGGCUGCAGGCUGAGGACGAGGCUGAUUAUUACUGCUCAGCAUGGGAGGGCAGUAUCAGCGGUGCCACAGUGCUGCAGGCCCGUGGGGAAAUGAAGGCCAACGUCUGCCUGUGCAUUGAGAACAGACUGGUAGGAAUGAACCACAGCCCACGGUUCCUGGAGAACGAUGGUGUCAGGAGGGGGAAAUAUUGA